rnacentral:hammerhead_ribozyme from 1 species
AUCCAGCUGACGAGUCGCGGAUAGGACGAAACGCGCAUCCUGGAU